UGUUUGUUCUUUAGGCUGAUCUUUGUAUUGAUGGACUUCCUAGCUCCGGCCCCACAUUUCCAGCAGCCUUCUAGAAACCUCUCCCAAAUGGAACUCAUCUGCUCUGUUCUUCUUGGAGAACCACCAUCCUCUCGGACUUCCACAGCCAUCUCAGAGUAGACUCUUCCUAUGUAAUCCAAGAUGGAUUCAAACUUGUGAUCCUCCUGCUUCGGCGUCUGAGUUCUAGGAUUGCAGUCAUGCACUACUACAUCCGGCAAAACCAAUCAUGUUCAAAGUGAAGUCUAAGGACUUCCUGCCUCCGACACGCCUCCAUUUCAAGACCAUGAUAGAAGAGCAAGUGCACAGUCCCUAAGGAUUGCACUCUUAGGCCACUCCCCCAGGAAGCUGCCUUGCCCAAUCCACUUGCUCUUUUGAGAAGCAGAGAGACAGGUGACUAUACAGAAGAGGACUGGGAUACCUCAGCGAGUAGCACUGCCAGGAAUGGCUGUGGAGGGUUGGGGUGGGGUGAGAAAAACUAGGAGGAUUUAGGAGUUAAGACUGGGAAUGCAGAAAUGAACUUAGCUUCCAAACACCCAUUUCAGGAGAUGGCCUCGCCCAGACAGCAGAGAACUGUUAAGCAAUAAUGGGUGCAAAGCAGGACCAGAUAAUAUGCUGGCCCUGGACUGGGUAUGCCUUUAGUGCCAGGGAGCGGAAUUUGAAUUUAAUUCAAUAAGGCGAUAGAGGGA
rnacentral:lncRNA from 1 species